CAGGGACUGCUCGUCCAUCGAUACAAAUCUGAGGACACUUGUUAUAUAUCCAGCCUCGCAGAAUACAACGAUACAAUAUCGGCUCAGGAAAGUCCAUCAAGCUUGUUCAAGUACAGGCUGGAACCAAUUUCAGAGAUUAACCACCAGUACUUCAGCUACACGGCUACUAGCUCGAUGAAACGCGUUUGCAGUGGCGCUAAAAACAUAUUAUGGAGUGAAAUUCAUGCUAAUGAUGAGCAGGAAACGCGACAGAAACGAGGUUGUGCACUCAUGUGCGGGUGUUGGUGUUCGUUUUUUUCUUGCAGUUGCGGUUGCAGAUUGGAAUGUUCAUUUUAAAAUGGUUUAAUAAUACAAUAUUAUCUAUAUAACAUGGUAUAAUGUAAUGUGCUUUCACUCCAUAAUGUAACGGUGCUUUCGCUUGAUAUUGUAUGCCUAUAAAAAAAAUCAGAAAUAGUUUGUAUAACUAUAACAAAUUAAUAACCAUUUUAGUUAAUUCUUGCUGAUCAUAUUGAUCGUAGUUAUAACAUCUCAUUUAUUCACAUAUCUAAUAUAAAAUGUCUAUCAACAUCUAUUUUUUAUAUAAGAAUAAGAAAAGGUAAUUUUAGAUUUUAGACAAAGAACAUAAUUAUGUUCUUUGUCUAAAAUCUAAAUUUUGAUCGAAUAAUUGUCUUUUUCUGGACAAUAUUACAAAAAACACCUUUUUCAUAUAUCACAUACAUGUAUAAUAUAUAUACACACGUAUAUACAAUUGCUAAUAUUUAUAAUGUAACAAAAAAUAAAUAAAAUAAAGAAAGAAAUCAGCGCUAUGUAGUACAGUAUUAGUACUAAUUAUAACACACCUAAAUAUAUCCCUGUCGUAUCACGUGACAUUGGUUAUUUAAACCAUUUCGUCAAUCAUCAUGGAAAUUUAUUUCCACCGUGCAUUAGUUUCCACCCGUUUUUGCCUAUCACGGUGCCUAAAGAAUAUAACUUCAGCCUAAUACAACCUUUUGAUUGGUUUAAAGACGCAGGACUGUUUCAUUUAGAAAAAGGGUAGACCUAGAUUUUUGUUAUGAAAUAUCAAAUGACAAGAAUAUCCAUUCAGAAAAAGAUAGAUUUUUUUGAAUAGAAUAUCAAAGGACAAUAACCUAUUUUAGGUGUGUUAUAAUAAAACAAAUAAUGAUUGUUUUCCUUUUUAUUCGAGAAAUGAAAAGACUAUUUUCAUUCGUUGGAAGAGUGACUGUUCUAUUCAACUCGGCUCUUCCUCGAUGAAUGUAGCAGUCAAUAUUACAAAUCAUUAGAAUAAUGUUGCCAUUGCGCUCAUAAACAUUCUUUAUUUGUAUACUAUUUUAUAAUAAAAACGUCCAUAUUUUUUUGACAUAAAAAUAAAAUCUGCAGACCAAUCA